rnacentral:rRNA from 1 species
GACGAACGCUGGCGGCGUGCCUAAUACAUGCAAGUCGAGCGCAGGAAACUGACGGAACUCUUCGGAGGGAAGGCAGUGGAAUGAGCGGCGGACGGGUGAGUAACACGUAAGGAACCUGCCUCAAGGAUUGGGAUAACUCUGAGAAAUCGGAGCUAAUACCGGAUAGUUCAACGGACCGCAUAGUCCGCUGAUGAAAGGCGCUCCGGCGCCACCCUGAGAUGGCCUUGCGGUGCAUUAGCUAGUUGGUGGGGUAACGGCCCACCAAGGCGACGAUGCAUAGCCGACCUGAGAGGGUGAUCGGCCACACUGGGACUGAGACACGGCCCAGACUCCUACGGGAGGCAGCAGUAGGGAAUCUUCCACAAUGGACGAAAGUCUGAUGGAGCAACGCCGCGUGAGUGAUGAAGGUUUUCGGAUCGUAAAACUCUGUUGUAAGGGAAGAACACGUACGAGAGGGAAUGCUCGUACCUUGACGGUACCUUACGAGAAAGCCACGGCUAACUACGUGCCAGCCGCCGCAGUAACGC